rnacentral:rRNA from 1 species
UACGAAGGGGGCUAGCGUUGUUCGGAAUUACUGGGCGUAAAGCGCGCGCAGGCGGUCUUCCAAGUCAGUGGUGAAAGCCCGGGGCUCAACCCCGGAAGUGCACUCGAUACUACGGAGCUGGAGUACUGAAGAGGAGAGCGGAAUUCCCGGUGUAGAGGUGAAAUUCGUAGAUAUCGGGAGGAACACCAGUGGCGAAGGCGGCUCUCUGGGCAGAUACUGACGCUGAGACGCGAAAGCGUGGGGAGCAAACAGG